GCGACUCUCAACAAACAUACGCAAACAGCACUCUGCGACUCUCAACAAACAUACCUACAACACACAGCAUCCAACGACGCCACUUAAUAUUCGGACCACCGGAUAUUGAAAAUUCUGGUGGAUUUUUCUCCUCUCACCCCUACUUUAUGUCUGUCUCCAUCAACAUCUUUUUAAUUCUCUUUCUCUUCCUAUUUUCUCUGAAAAAAUCAGACCAAAAGGGAUUAUUUUUUCUCCAUUACAGACCUCUAAGAAGAGAGAUAUAUGGGAAUUCAAUGGUCUUUGGUGUAUUGUUUCUUUGAUUCAGUGGACAAACAAUUGCUCACCUUGAAGAACCCAAAUUGUCAAAAAUCAAAUCUCUUCUGAAAAGGAUCGAUAUGCUCAAGCAGCACACUACAUCUAAAGAGAAGAGGAAUAUAUUCUAUGCGCUGUAUGACUUUCCUUGGACGUUUAUGGUCUGAAUAUAUGAAGCUUUUCCUUCAAUUAGAGGAAAUAGAGGCAAAUCAGAAAGCUUCUCGAUCUAUCCCAAGGAUCCUAAGAUGACACAUUAUCAAAAUCAAUCGAUUUAUCAAAGGUGAUCCUUUCAACAAGUUGGGAGCUUAAGAGGAGGUUAUAAAAGGAGCAUGUUAUGGAAAGUAUAGAGAAUGCAGGUGCAAGAGUUAUGGGAAAAAGAAAGCCAAGCAGAAAAGUUCAAUUAAGUAGGGAAUAUGUUGGUGAUCAGAAAUUAAUUAGGAGUCAAUAUGCUAAGGACCCAUCAGUAGGGGGUUGCUUCUCUGUGUGCUCAAGAUUGAAAAUGUAUUGAAAGGCUUUCUCGAUAAUAUGGAUCAAAAGAAAAAAGAAAGAUGGAGAUGGAAAAGAAGAAAAAGACUCUCAAGGACCACGGUGAUCACUAUCCAUUUCUUAUUAUUACAUCUUAUUUUCUAAUGUAUCAAUAGUUUUGAUAUUUAUGUCCAAAAUAUACAGUGAUCAAAAUUGUUGGAGUUGAUUUUGUAAUUGAUGAAAAAACUGCAGGAGCAAAUGUGAAUGAUGCUGAUGAGUCCCUCAGAGUUCUCUAAUUUAGAAAAGUGCUCAAUCUAGGGAGAUAAAAGAAGAUGCUCCCAAAUAAGAUGUUCAAGUUAAAGAGGAUCCAAAACUAGCUGACUUGGAUGCCAUUACUCUGAUUGAGGAGGAAAAUAAGGAAUUCACUGAGCAAGCUGAUCAUAUUGAUACAACAAAUCAUGAAAAAGUUCCUAAUUCAGUUGUUAAAAAUGCAGCAAAUGUUUUGAGCAAGAUGUUCUUAAAAACAUGUUCAAGAGAAGAGAUUGAUGUGUUGUUCAUUGUUGUAGAUCUUAAUGUUGAAAGUUGUGUGAUUCUUAGAAUCAAUUUCUAAUUUCGUAUUUGAUGGUUGCCAACUUUUAAGACAAUCUUAUUUCAUGACAAUUUUUUUAAAAUUUUGGGUUUGAUGAUAAUCAUGAUGGAUCAAAGCAAUAGACAAUAUUCCUUAUUGGUUUUACUAUAAUGAUGGUUUCUUCGGAUGGUAGUUAACAGACAAUAUUUAAUUUUGAUUUUUAUUGAUGAAUUCUUUUAUAAAGUCUUUUAGAUCA